rnacentral:lncRNA from 1 species
CUUCUCAAAACAACAAGAAAGAGAUGAUUCAUUCUUUAUUCAAAUUUGUUGUUUUUGCCAUGUUGUUGUUCCCUUCUUGCGGUAAUUCUCUCCCUCUUUCUCUUAUUUUAUUCUGAGGUUUAUUAUGUCUUUGAUUAGUUUCCAAAACUUAUAAAGAAUGCACAAUAAUAUGUAUGUUUUUUUUGUGUUAUUGCAGUAUUAGGAGUUGAUCUUGAAAAAGCAAGUAAAAACGCCGUUGGUGCUAUUGAAAACCAAAUUCAAAGCCCCAUUUCCACCGCAGAUGAAGGACAUUCUUGUAAGCAAUUUAUAGAUUGUAAUGACUACGUCUGCCCACCAUGGUUGUAUGCAAUUUGUUGGCAUGGAAAGUGCACAUGCCAUAGAUAGAUAAAUAAACAAAAAGAUUAUAAGAUUCAUAAUAUAGUGUUGG